rnacentral:rRNA from 1 species
UACGUAGGUGGCGAGCGUUGUCCGGAAUUACUGGGCGUAAAGGGUGCGUAGGUGGUUUCUUAAGUCAGAGGUGAAAGGCUACGGCUCAACCGUAGUAAGCCUUUGAAACUGGGAAACUUGAGUGCAGGAGAGGAGAGUGGAAUUCCUAGUGUAGCGGUGAAAUGCGUAGAGAUUAGGAAGAACACCAGUGGCGAAGGCGAUUCUCUGGACUGUAACUGACGCUGAGGCUCGAAAGCGUGGGGAGCAAACAGG